UCAAUCGGCGGCUGUAUGUUGACUGACAAGAAUAUAAUUGCUGUUAAUCCGGCCCUGCUUCGUGUACAAAUGCAUAGUGGGGAGACAUGAACAUUUUUCGAAAUUGCGGCCCUAUCCUCUUGGGAUUCUACGUUGGACAAAUUCUGAAAACGACCCCAGAAAUAUAAUUGGAGGUUCAAACCCGUGCGAGGUGAGCUUUCAUAUAUGAAACAGACCAGUCAUGGGGACACGAGAUAUGGAAAGUUUCAGCGUAGUCGUCGCCACAUUGCUGCCAACACUGCAUAUAUAAGGAAUCACGAACCAUUCAGGAAUAUUGAGACUUAGACCAGUAUCUUUUUAAGUAGGCAUGUGGGGUAAAGAAGACGCAGAAGCUUCAGUCGGGUACCAUCGGUAACGUAGGCGAUUGAUAUAUUUCCACCACUACAUAUGUUGGAUUGGAAUUUCCCAUUUGAUGCUUUGACUGACUAAAUGAGAAAACUUGGAGGUAAGCUCUUACGGAAUUCUAUGGAAAUAUGUUUAGUAACAUAUUGGUGCAUUACUCUGUCUUCCAGUCAGUUUCACAUAAACUUUGCACGUAUUAUAGAAAUGCCACCUACUUUUUUUUGUGUUAAUAUUAUUGAAAGUAGUAGCUGGUAGCUGUAGUCGUAAGCCCAGAGAGUCUCUGUUUUGAACAUAAUACACAAAAUGGGGCGUUCAAAAACAAUAGACUGCAUGCCUUUUAGAGUCGGCGUAAACUAUGGUCAUAUACCCCUGAUCAAAUUCAGAACUAGAAAAUCGUUGUGUCUCUGCAUUAAAAAUAAUAGUAAAAUUUAUUGUAGGCACCUA